CCCUUACCCUUUAUCUUUUGUGAACCAAGCACCCCCUUAGUAUGACAUCCAAUCCAAUAGGGAUAUAUGACUACAAGCCGCGGUAGCACUAGUCACUUAGUUGUUUUAUCUGGCUGCCCCUUGCUGUGUGUAGCCUCCCACAACGCCCAGAGUUUUCCUUUUUCACUCUUCUUUUUCCAAUCGAUCUGUUGUUGUUCGCCCAAUUGGUUGACAACCCGAGAUUCACCUAUUUCCUUGCAGCUGCCCGUGCACGCUGUAACUUCACCCGGUCCUCUGGAACCAAAUCAUCAAGCAUAGCAUCCUAACAUAGGUAUACCGUUUACAACUUUGCCAGGCAUAUGUAUCUUGUGUAAAUGAGGUGACGGAAUGGGCUUGUUACCAUACGGGUCUAAUUGGGUUUUGAUCAAAACAUGUACUCUUUCAAUGCUAUAAGUAGGUUGAAAUCGUUGCCUCUAGGAUGAAAUUUUGAUCUCUCAGUUUGCAUUUCCUAAUCGGUUUACAUCUCUAUAUAGUUUUGGGGAAUUUGGAAGAUGCUUGCUCUUUGUAUGAACAGACGAAUGCAAUUGCCAAUUGAGAAAGGCAAAGAACAAUCACAGACCUUUCCGCUUUUGUCUCCCCAGUAUUCUCGCUUUUUGUACAUGGUUUUGGGAAGAGCUGAAAAGGCAAGGGAGGUUCUAGAUCAAGCCCUUGAGAGAAAUCAUCUCUCAAAACCACUCUUAGAGGCUUUGAUUCGUGUGGAAUCAAUUCAAUCACUUCCAAAAUAAAUUCAUCACCCAGACUCACUAGUUGAGAAGUUUGUAGCUCCUGGUCCCGAUAACUCAAAUCCUGCAAGUUAUGUUGAGAGACGAGAGUUAUCUAGCAUCUUUUUGGAGGUAUAAAUAUAGCUCCUCAGUUUGAAGUUCAUCCCGGGGUACCAACAUCAAGAAAGGGCCAGGACAUCUUUAACCAGACAUCCAGUUUCUGCUAGCCAAGUGAUGUAUGAACUUCGUUUCAAUUCCCUUGUGUGUAUUCAUGAUUUCUGCUAAAGGUGGCAGAAAUGGGAGGGUUGUGUUAUUGGUCAAAAUUAGCCUGGUUGACUUGAUAUGUACUUGUUUUCUUAAUCCAAACUUAUCAGUUCUUUUAUGGAUAGCCGGCUUGUCAAAUGUGAUUACAAAAGUUAAGUUAUCGAGAUAAUAAUCUGGUUCUCGGAUUGUAAUGAGGCUUUUUUUUUUUUUUUUUUUUUCUGUGGAAUCUAAGCGCGUAUUCCUGAGGUCUUUAGGCUGUGAUGAUGAACUUUUAUUGCUGGAAGAAGAAUGGGGCCACUUUCUAGAUGCCUGAGCUGGCAAGGUCAUUAGGUUAUGUUCUAAAAGAGGCUGAUCUUUUGGAGAAGGCUGGCCAUUUUAUGGAGGCUGCAGAUCUCUUGCUUUGGUAUGUAUUUUUUAGCUAACUUUGGGGAAAUGGAAAUAGAGGUUGGCCAUUGAAGCAGUUUGCUAUGAAGGAAGACCUUUUUUUGAGAAAGCAAGGUCGGUUGCAAAAAUGACCUCUAAUAAUUUCUAUGAUUUUGUUUGUAAUGAGCUUAAGGUACUCUCUGAUAAGCAUAGUAGUUUGCCCGUGCUCAAGAAAGAUUUACUUGCUUCCAAGAAAUAUAAGAGUGUACGAGGGGAAAUAUCAUCCAUAAGGAAAAUCUUAGAUCCUCAUUUUCGUAUAAAUUUCUCUAAGUACUUUUGGGAGGAUGAAUUACCGUCCGAUAUUACUAAGCAUUGUGAAGACAAGAUAUUUCAGGGUUAUGUUUCUAUUAGAACUCUGGUUUUUUAUUGGAACCAGUGGAAGGAGAAUGUCAUCAAUAUCUUUCAAAGCAUCAAAUGUCUUGAAAAUGAAACGCCAAUUAAAAGUGAUGGUCUUGCCGAUUUUAGUAUAAGUUACUUUUGAGUGAGGAAACAGUGUGUAAACGGGAACAUUGUUUACCUAUUAGUCAACAAGGAUGGUGACUGGAUAAGAAACACUGGUAAUAAAGGUCUCCGUAGGGAAGCGAAGCUUCUAAUUAUGAAUACAAGUCAGUUGGUGCUUGCUAUCAGGUCUUAUUGGCAGUCAGAACUACUUUCCGUGGGUAUAAAAGUACUUGAAAAACUAGAAGGUCUCCGUAAGUCAAAGUUAAAUGGUUCAGCAUUUCAUCAAAGCACGUCUUUCCUACACAUAAAGGUUUACAUCAAACUAGUGCUAGUUGAUGCGAGUUACUUCGGAAAUAAACGGUAAAUUCAUUUGAGGUAUUCUCUCAAUACCAAAAAAAGCAAGCGGAUCAAGUAUGAGUUUUCGAGGUUUCCAAGUUUCUUUUGGACUGCCAGUGGCUUAACCUCUCUUCUCAUCACGCAAAUAAACUGCAAAGUUUCCUUGGAAUCUCUGCACAUUACUUUGAUCUUGUCUUUCCGUUAGACUGGCGAAAAUCAGUCUCUAAGGACUUGGUUUCCUUAAGGAUGACUGAUAUAUCACUUUACUUGUUUGAUGAGAUUAUUCUUCAAAAAGUUGACAUCAAUGGUGACAUCAGCUUUUGGACCAUCGGAAUGGGGAUGAUGCUGUGGUUUGCUUUAAGAAAACCGGCUGCGCUUAAUGAAAAAGAUUGUUGCGGGGCUCCAGUGGAGUCUCGGAUGAAAGUCACUUGUAGAACUAUGGAAUGUUGGCUAUAUAGGUUUUAAAUAUACGUCACACAUCUAGAAUGCUCUUGUCACCGAGAAACAUGCAUCAACAAUUUGUGUUGGUCCAUUACUCCGGGUUGCUUUAGGUGAUACUUUUAAUGAAAACUGGAGUAAUCCUGGCUAUAUAUCACCUUGAAGCUUCGUGCAUCUUUUGGAUCGUCUUCUUUUCAUGGAGUCUUUCUCUUCAGGACUACCUUUCACUACGAAGACUUCUUUUGUUGGAUGGUUUACAGAGCUUCACCCUAGUGAUUCAGCUUUAUCAGAACUUAAACAGAUCUAUGUGAAGACUGACUUCACCUUAUUUGUUAACAUAGUCCGACGAAUUCCCUACAACAAGGAAGAUACUGAAUCUUGGAUUCGAAGAUCAAAGAUUAACGUCUCUUAUUACCAUCCACUUUUAGCAUUGAAGUUGGUGAUGAUGUUAUCUUUAAUUUUUCUGCGAGUAUCAGAUUGUUAUCAAGUAUCACUUGAUUUGCUGACGGGAAAGAAAAAUAUCGAGUAUUUGCUUUCGAAGGAAUUUGUGUAUAUUCUUUUGCGGAACAUGAAGGGUCGUAACUUGUACUUGAGUCCACAAAUAGUUGCUGAAGCUUUGCAAGCAUAGAGGAUCCUCUCCUGAUUGUCAGUUCAGAAUCUAAGAAUCCACAAAUAGAUGCUCCUUGUGCUAUAUUUGUGGACCUAAGGAAAUCUGAAGAGGAGAUAAUGAACACAUUGUUCACUAAGAUCCGCCUUGUAGUCAAAGUACUUUAAACAACGAUGGUCGUGGGAUAGCUCCUGAGGCAGUGCUAGAGAAAAGCAAUGAUAAUCAAAGUGGCGGUGGUAGCACUCAUCAUGUGAAUAACAACAAAGUGAAAAGUAACAAGGUAAAGAAAAAUACAAAUAUCGGCCAGACUUCUGCGAACAAUGAAUGUGAAAGGGAACAGCAAACUGCUGCAGUUAUGGUAAAGGUAAGUGGGAAGAAUAGCAAGUCACUGAGCACAUCUGCUGCAGUUAUGGUAAAGAAAAGUGGACAAACGUAUGGACACGUCGCUUAGUACCUUUGCUGGACAAGAUACAACAUAUGUAGUUACUGCAUUAAAUCAACUGAAUGUGAUUUCUCCUGCUGUUGCAUCUAAUAUGGGGCUGGACUUGCAAAGUCAUAAAUCUUGAAGUUGUUUUUUUCAUUAGUUUAAACUAUUAUUUAUAUUACUGUAUUACUUUUUGGCGUCUUGAUCCUUUUCACUGGAAAAACAGCAGAGGAUUUAGUUUUCUUGAAAUGUAUACAAUGGCUUAA